rnacentral:misc_RNA from 1 species
ACUAAGACAAAAAUUUGUCGUCCUGUGUGGCAUAAUGAAAAACUGUUAGGCUUAGCAAGUUAACAGAAGUUUAACAAAUAGGCAUAAUUUUAAAAAGUAAAAAAAUUAUGUCAGGCACAACUUAGAAUAGCCUCAAGUUAAUAAAGAAGGGAAACAGAGGGUUCCGACAAAGCAGAAAUUUGUAAUGAGAAACAAUUCAAUAAUCAUAGAAUAAAUAAAAAAAAAAUUACUUGACCACAUUCAGUUUUACCUUUCAUAUUCUUGUUGAGAACG